rnacentral:rRNA from 1 species
GACGUAGGGCGCGAGCGUUGUCCGGAUUUAUUGGGCGUAAAGGGCUCGUAGGCGGCUUGUCGCGUCGACUGUGAAAACCCGCGGCUCAACUGCGGGCUUGCAGCCGAUACGGGCAGGCUAGAGUUCGGUAGGGGGAGACUGGAAUUCCUGGUGUAGCGGUGGAAUGCGCAGAUAUCAGGAGAACACCGUGGCGAAGGCGGGCUCUGGCG